GCGGGAGCAGAGAGACGAGGAAAUGCUGUCACCGCCGUUAACAAGCACGUGGAGGUUUGUUAAAGGUAGUGGGAGGCAUAAUUCUUAGUCAAUGAGAGACAGCAGUAGCCAAUCCAGAAUACCGGGAACAGGUGCGGUGCCGGCAAACUGACUUCAGGCUGUGGAUGUACGGCUGAGAGAGAAGUAGGAAACCCUGACAGUGCUCAUGCCGGCUUUGAUCCGGCUGGAGCAGCCUGUGGUGGAGAUGGUUCUAUAUAGCCUUGGUGUCUACCAGCAUCUGGAGUGGGAGCCACAAGAGCCAUGUAGACAGGCACCCAGCACUGUGCCAGCAACGUGGGGCUGACUGGCUCUGGGGAAGAGUUGUUGGCAGUGCUGGCGACAAGGAUAGAGUGUGAGGCCUGGCGACAGGAUGGCAGGGCAGAAGCCUCAGCGCUCAGGAGCUGCGGUCCUGGCUGCUCUGAGGGUCCCUGAAAGAUAAAGGGUAAGGAGAAACAGACAGGCUGGCCAGGAAGCAACACAGUGCCUUCAGUGGUCACCAGGCUCCAAGCCCAUGAAAUGCUGCAGAGCAAGGGAGAUCCUGCAGAGGCUGCCAACUGUGAAGCCAGAGGACAGACGGCUCUGUGCAAAGUGGACGUAGAUUCUAGGACAUCACAGACACAGAUCUCUGCACAAUCACUGCAGUCAUGAAGGGACAGCCACAAAUAAAAGCAUGCAGUUGCAAAAACCAGUCCUGUAGGCACAGCCAGUUGCUUUUAAAGGUUCUAGAUGGAGUCAUCGGCAAAAAGCAGGCACCAUGCAUUUUGUUUCAACUGACACUGAAAUGCUCAUAGUAUUUUUGUGAACAAGAAAGAGGAAAUGAAGGCUGGGUGAUCAUCUUACUUGGGGCUAAGGGUGGUGGGUAUAAGCCAAGGUACCUCCAAGUCAGCCUGGGCUCAGGACCAGGGACCACAGGCACCCUGGGUCUUUUUACUGACGUGUUUUCCUUCUGGUAAUUGUCAUCUUAUUUUAAUUAAUUAUUUACUUACUGAGUAUCACACUAGUCUAGCCUCUGACUGCUGGAAUUUAAAGCAUGCAUGUUUAGCUAACAAAAACUAUUUAAAAAAAACUAAAAAAUUCAAUUAUAGGUAA